UGGGCUGUUUGUCUUGAAGCCAGGCCCUCUCUCACGCUCCACUGAACACUAUAGAGUCGCUCUCAUGAGAGGAAGUCUGUUCCUCUCUGAUCAUCCUUCUGCUGCAGUGCUCCCUGAGGCAUGGAGAGAUAUACAGACACACGGGGAACUCAGUCUGUGGUGCGCAUGACGAGUCAGAGGCGGGAACUGAUUCAUGAGAGGAAACCAUAGCAACGUCUCAACUAUGCUGGUGGCAAGACAUGCUAGACUCCUUCACCAAAAACACAUUUACGUAAUCUGUUCCCAGCGCUAGGAAUGUGAAUCCUGCCCUGCAUUCCCGUGCUUGCAGAUCUGUGGGAACGGGUCACCCAGGUUUCAGUCUGUAGAACGUGGGAUUUCUUGUAAAUAAGAUCGUACAUCAUUGCCAAAUGUUCUUUUUUUCUUGUCCAUCAUUGCUUCUGAGCA